rnacentral:rRNA from 1 species
AUGGCGUCAGAUUGAACGCUGGCGGCAGGCUUAACACAUGCAAGUCGAACGGUUUUGAGUACUUGUACUUAAGAUAGUGGCGAACGGGUGAGUAAUGCCUAGGAAUCUGCGAUUAAUGGGGAUAACGUUCCGAAAGGAACGCUAAUACCGCAUACGCCCUACGGGGGAAAGCAGGGGAUCUUCGGACCUUGCGUUAAUUGAUGAGCCUAGGUCGGAUUAGCUAGUUGGUGAGGUAAAGGCUCACCAAGGCGACGAUCUGUAGCGGGUCUGAGAGGAUGAUCCGCCACACUGGGACUGAGACACGGCCCAGACUCCUACGGGAGGCAGCAGUGGGGAAUAUUGGACAAUGGGCGGAAGCCUGAUCCAGCCAUGCCGCGUGUGUGAAGAAGGCCUUUAGGUUGUAAAGCACUUUAAGCGGGGAGGAGGCUACCUGGGAUAAUACCCUGGAGUAGUGGACGUUACCCGCAGAAUAAGCACCGGCUAACUCUGUG